rnacentral:misc_RNA from 1 species
GAUGAAGAACGCAGCGAAAUGCGAUAAGUAAUGUGAAUUGCAGAAUUCAGUGAAUCAUCGAAUCUUUGAACGCACCUUGCGCCUUUUGGUAUUCCGAAAGGCACACCUGUUUGAGCGUCAUGAAUACCUCAAUCUCCAUCUUUUCUUCGGAUUGAUGGGUGACUUGGAUGUUGAGCCCUGCUGGUAUGCUAUAUCAGCCGGCUUUAAACUUAUUAGCCGGCUCUGUACUGGAUCGGUUUGACUCGACGUGAUAAUAUUAUCGUUGAGGAUGCAUGUCUCAUGCAGCCGGAAAGUAUCAAAGCAGCUUCUAGCUUGCCUUUAGUGCACUUUUACAUUUUAGACCUCAGAUCAGGUGGGACUACCCGCUGAACUUAAGCAUAUCAAUAAGCGGAGGA